CAACCCCCUGUGCCAUGCCGGGAUCAGGAUGGAUUGUGUCACACCUGGAGAGCUUGGAAGGAAUAACUUUCAAGAAACCCAAAUUCACCUGGCUUCGGUUAUCAGGAUCUUUUUCCUCCAUCUUCUCCUGAAACCCUGUGGCCCACACCAGCAGCAUCUGGGAGGCACGUUUCACUGUUAACCCUACAACUUUAACACAAGUGACUUUUAUGGUCUGCCAUGCCCCUACCCCAGGCUGUUAAAAUGAAGGGUCAGCCUCCCUGCUGGUUAGUGGAACAUUUUUCUUUGACACAUACCUGCUUGGUGAUUUGUGAGCCAUUCUUUCCAUCUACCAGCAGCUGUGGGUAAUGAUUAACCAGAAGAGAAGCUCAAUAAUGCAAGAUAUGUUUACAAUGUUCACGGGGGAGGUUGGUGGUGGGACGCUUUCUCUGGCCACACAAGGGGUGGAGGUGGCAGGAGUUCUCUGAGCUUCUUUACAUUUUACAAGCAAGACAGGUGUUCAACACCCCACACUGGCUUCUGAGAGCCCUGGCUGUUCGCUGGAUGAGACACUGGAAGUAAUGUCUGAAGGCAAUGCACCUGCUAGCAGGAAGACUUAGAUUUCACAGGGAGGAGAAGAAUGUCCUUCAGGCCUUGUGGCCCCUACCCCUGCCUUGUGGAGGACAAGGCUUUGGGAAGCAUGCUUCCCCAGCACUGCUGCACUCUGACAAUGUGCUAUUUGCUAUUUGGUUUUUAUUAGAUUUUACUUUUUUUUUUUUUUUGAGCAUUCAGUUGUUCAAAUCUGCCAGUUUUUUUUUUUUUUUUUUUUUAAAAAGAGGGGGUGUUGUUUUGUGAGAAUUCUAGUCUGGUGGUGCUCUUUGGUGGGAGGGUGGGGACACAGAACUUGGUGAAGGGUGUAGUGUGGGACUGUGCACUGUAGUCUUACA